UCAUGCCCAUUCUGCCUGGGCUACACACGUGCUCAAUGGACAGAACAAAGGGCAGCGAAGCCGCGAGUUAAGCCAAUCCCACAAAUCUGUUCUCAGUUCGGAUCGCAGUCUGCAACUCGACUGCGUGAAGCUGGAAUCGCUAGUAAUCGCGGAUCAGCAUGCCGCGGUGAAUACGUUCCCGGGCCUUGUACACACCGCCCGUCACACCACGAGAGUUUGUAACACCCNNNUNGGNGAGGUAACCUUUAUGGAGCCAGCCGCCGAAGGUGGGACAGAUGAUUGGGGAAGU
rnacentral:rRNA from 1 species